UACGUAGGGUGCGAGCGUUAAUCGGAAUUACUGGGCGUAAAGCGUGCGCAGGCGGUUUUGUAAGCCAGAUGUGAAAUCCCCGGGCUUAACCUGGGAAUUGCGCUCGAAACUACGGAGCUGGAGUGUGGCAGAGGAAGGUGGAAUUCCACGUGUAGCGGUGAAAUGCGUAGAGAUGUGGAGGAACACCAAUGGCGAAGGCAGCCUUCUGGGCCAACACUGACACUCAUGCACGAAAGCGUGGGGAGCAAACAGG
rnacentral:rRNA from 1 species